CCUACGGGUGGCAGCAGUGAGGAAUAUUGGUCAAUGGGCGCGAGCCUGAACCAGCCAAGUCGCGUGAGGGAAGACGGUCCUCUGGAUUGUAAACCUCUUUUGCCGGGGAGCAAAAGACGCCACGUGUGGCGUUCCGAGAGUACCCGAAGAACAAGCAUCGGCUAACUCCGUGCCAGCAGCCGCGGUAAUACGGGGGAUGCGGGCGUUAUCCGGAUUUAUUGGGGUAAAAGGGUGGGCAGGCGGAAGAGCAAGUCAGCGGUAAAAGUGAGGGGCUAAACCUCGUCUAGCCGUUGAAACUGGUUGUCUUGAGUGAGCGAGAAGUAUGCGGAAUGCGUGGUGUAGCGGUGAAAUGCAUAGAUAGCACGCAGAACUCCGAUGGCGAAGGCAGCAUACCGGCGCGCAACUGACGCUCAGGCACGAAAGUGUGGGUAGCGAACAGGAUUAGAUACCCUUGUAGUC
rnacentral:rRNA from 1 species